rnacentral:misc_RNA from 1 species
UACGGAGGUGGCAAGCGUUGCUCGGAUUCAUUGGGUGUAAAGGGCAAGUAGGCGGUUUGGUAAGUCGGACGUGAAAUCCCCGGGCUCAACCUGGGAAUUGCAUCCGAUACUACCGAACUUGAGGACGGGAGAGGAGAGUAGAAUACACGGUGUAAGGGUGAAAUCUGUAGAUAUCGUGUAGAACACCAGUGGCGAAGGCGACUCUCUGGCCCGUUUCUGACGCUGAGAGGCGAAAGCCGGGGGAGCGAACAGG